rnacentral:lncRNA from 1 species
UGCCUUAAAAAAUGUCAUAAAAAAAAAAAAAAUUGCAUCACGAGUGUUUGCUUUCACCAACUGGUCAAGCUGCAGUUUAGAUCCACGUCUGUCCAAAACGUCCUCACUUCAUCCCAAUAGACAUUUGUGUGAAAUGUUCAUAAUAAAUAUCGAGUAACGUUUUUUUGAGGCCACAGUGACCUUGACCUUGUUUUGAAUAUUCUUUCUUCACGUCUCUUUGACCUUGAACAAAUUGCAUAUAAUUCCAAGCAGCUCAAGGCUAAAAUCUCACACUGCACCGAGCUCCUGAUGGCUGUGACGACAACAUAGUUAUGUAUCUCAAUAUCAUAGUGAAAGUAAUUAGAGGAGUUUAGAGUCGGCGGCUUCCCCAGAUGUGUCUGCACAGCACACGAGGACACUUUUACACAUUUUUAUAAGCCUCUAUAAAAAGCAAACGGCCAUGAGAGGUGUGAAUCAGGCUCUGGCGUCCUUUGGAGACAGGCGGGUGUAAAGAGGCAAUAUGUGAAAAACAAACAUGUCCGCCUUCCUGUACUUCUAUCCAAGACAGAAGCACGAGGGACAGGACCACGAGCAGCAAGACGGCACAGAAGAUGAUGUUUGAUGAAGCAGAUGUUCUUGACACAUGGGGAAGUUUCAAAGCCUGUUGCAUCCUGCUGACAAUAUUACAUUCCUGCACUACAGGAAGUGCGAGGAUUCUACUCUGUGCAUCUGAAUUCACACACACACACACUUUUUCUUUCAGACCACAGAACAAAUUACUUUUGUACAGGUCGAGCCCUUUUGUGUUCUGCCCUGAAAGCAUGCAUGCUCUGUGCGUGUCUGCGCUGCUCUAUUCUCUCCUCCUUUGAUUUCUGCAGGAGCAGAGGUGAGCGAUGCAGCGGGCAGGAGGUGGGGGAUGGGGAGGGAGAAACGAAGCCUCCCUUACUACGGCCUGUGGUCGGCAGACUUUCUCGGGUGUCUGGAGGAGCUGUGGCCGCAGGCAGCUCAUGGAGGACCUGGACCUGGCUCCAACCUUCUGGGCUCACUUCCCCAUCGGCAGCGAGCUGGGCUACGACAGUCAAGAGUCUGAAGCGCAACCUGAGUGAGGAAGACGAGGGGAAAGGAGAAGAUUUAAGAGUCAGAGGGAUGUGCAAAGGUUCCCACAUACUGAGUAUGAGGAAGAGUUUGUAGGGUACAGAUGUGUGAUCACUAAUGACGGGGGGAGGGAGAGACGGUGUCAGUGGGGGUCUCUGGCCUUCGUUCCUUUUGUUUGCCAAAAUGUCAUUUACAGACAAAGAAAGGUACAACAUGUAAUCUACUCAAUGACAUGUCAGCUCGAUCUGUUAUUUAGGAUUAGGGAGGUGCAGAGCGGAGUAAAAUCUGUUGUCAUCAAUCAAAAUGGUAUUAUUUGAUCCACACCUCUCUAUAUGAUGCAGUAUACAAUGAUGAAACGAUGUAAAGGUGUUUUGUUGAGCUGUUAAAGGGUUAAAUGCAAAAGUAAACAAAAUAAAAAUUGACUUCAGGAUUUGUGUUUUGAGUGAAGUGUGUCAGUUUAUGAGAUCAAGCGUGAGGAGCAGGAUGGAAGCAACGUUCAAUCUGAUUUUACGGCGUUUCAAUUCCUGCCUGACAGCAAACAUGCAGUUACAUAAUGACCUGAUGAGGUGACCUGAUUCUGCCUUGUGUGUGUUUGGUGUCCAACAAUGCUCUGAUGCAGAGAUGCUGAAUGAAAGAGUCAAUGUGUAUCCCUGUUCAGAGGCAUCUACUGAAUAAAAACAGAAGGUAAAUCUGUUGGCACGUCUGCCCUGAAAGCAGAGGCUUGCCUUUCACUAAGCUCUACAGCAGGGGUGGGGAACCUUUUUUCCUAUCAAGGGCCAUUUUUAUUUACAACAUCCUUCGAGGGCCGUACUAAUUAUUGAACUCAUAACCUCUGCAAAAUGUUUUUAAGACAUAGCCCAUUCAUUUCACUUUUCUUUUAUGCUAAAUGCAAAAAAAGCAACUUUUUUAUCCAUGUAUCUUUCUGUUUUAUCAGAAAACCUUUAUUAGUCCCACAACGGGGAAAUGUAUCUCGUCACAGCAAAAGAACAUAUGAAGUAAAAAGGCAGUACACAAUAAUUAAAUAGAAUAAACAAUAAUAUAAGUACCAAGUGGUUGAUAGAAAUAAAGUGAGUAUUGCACAUGGCAGUGAUAACUGCACAGCAGUGGUGGAACAGUCUGUUCUUGGUGUGGUGGUCUACCUCUCUAUCUGUCCAUGUUUGUAUGUUCCGCUCUGCAGAGAGCUGCUUGUUGGGCCAAACUCCGCCGAAGAGCGUUAACUUUAUCCAAACGCACUCAGCUCGUGCAGUGUUGAUGUUUGUGCAGUAAUGACGCUCGAGAUUAUUUUUAAUCACCGCAAGCGCGUCCACACAAACUAGGCACACUGAACUUUUACUUCCUCAAAGAAAUAAUCGUUCGUCCAUUUCUCCUGGAAAGUGCGACAUUCUGCAUUGAAGCUUUCUCUGUUUUACACUCGCCACGCUGCGUUCACGGAAGUCAACGACAGUCUCGUUUAAUAUUGUUUUUUUAACUUUUUUAAAUUACAUUUGUUGACAUGACCACGUGAUGACACGUUCCACUCGUGUUG